GCGCCUGUAGCUCAGAUUGGACAGAGCGACCGCCUCCUAAGCGGUAGGUAGCCGGUUCGACUCCGGCCAGGCGCA
rnacentral:tRNA from 3 species